rnacentral:rRNA from 1 species
UGGGGAAUAUUUGACAAUGGGGGGAACCCUGAUCCAGCCAUGCCGCGUGUGUGAAGAAGGCCUUAUGGUUGUAAAGCACUUUAAGCGAGGAGGAGGGUACUGGUAUUAAUACUACCAGGUACUGGACGUUACUCGCAGAAUAAGCACCGGCUAACUCUGUGCCAGCAGCCGCGGUAAUACAGAGGGUGCGAGCGUUAAUCGGAUUUACUGGGCGUAAAGCGUGCGUAGGCGGCUAAUUGAGUCGGAUGUGAAAUCCCCGAGCUUAACUUGGGAAUUGCAUUCGAUACUGGUUAGCUAGAGUGUGGGAGAGGAUGGUAGAAUUCCAGGUGUAGCGGUGAAAUGCGUAGAGAUCUGGAGGAAUACCGAUGGCGAAGGCAGCCAUCUGGCCUAACACUGACGCUGAGGUACGAAAGCAUGGGGAGCAAACAGG